UUUGUUCUAUCUGUAAUAGUAACGUACAUGAUAUUACGAGUUGCUCGGUAGUACUCUGCGGCGUUUGCCUAUCCUGCUAGCGAACAUAAAACGAUUUCCCCAAGAUGCUCAGUCAGAGCCUUGUCAGCUCCAGAUUUGACUACCUCAACUCACACCCUGCUGGAAUCCCUGCAUUCUCAGAUUCCCCUCCACUGAUUUGCACCCUGGAUGGCCUCCCUAUUGCAGCUCACAUUAUGUUCAUGAUUUUAAUUCUAGCCUACAGGCCCAGAAAAUGACCAGCUCCUUAAUACCUCUUGGUCUGGAUAAAGUAAUGUACUGUUUUUCUUUUUCUGUGAUCUACAAUUGUGUCAAUCUUGAAGUUGUCUUCUCCUUAAUAAUUCAGUGGACAAUCACCAAGACUUUGCUGUGUACGGUUGCCUAAUUGGUUGAAUGAGUUGAGCUGCAGGCAUCAUAACUGCAAAGUCCCUUGCUGUUUGUAAAUGCUGAUUCAAUAACCACCUAACCACUUUGAUUCUGAUUUACUUUUGGUCUUGGAAUACACUUCUACAUGUUGCUCUAUGUUUAUAAUAAAAACAUGUUUGUUGUGCUUUUA